GUGGGGAAUCUUGCGCAAUGGGCGAAAGCCUGACGCAGCCAUGCCGCGUGAAUGAUGAAGGUCUUAGGAUUGUAAAAUUCUUUCACCGGGGACGAUAAUGACGGUACCCGGAGAAGAAGCUCCGGCUAACUCCGUGCCAGCAGCCGCGGUAAUACGGAGGGGGCUAGCGUUGCUCGGAAUUACUGGGCGUAAAGGGAGCGUAGGCGGACAUUUAAGUCAGGGGUGAAAUCCCGGGGCUCAACCUCGGAAUUGCCUUUGAUACUGGGUGUCUUGAGUGUGAGAGAGGUAUGUGGAACUCCGAGUGUAGAGGUGAAAUUCGUAGAUAUUCGGAAGAACACCAGUGGCGAAGGCGACAUACUGGCUCAUUACUGACGCUGAGGCUCGAAAGCGUGGGGAGCAAACAGGAUUAGAAACCCUUGUAGUCC
rnacentral:rRNA from 1 species